CUCUUAAGUCGCGCCCACGAAUGGGGGCGUGCCACAAGGAACUUAUACUGACGCUCGUAGUUGGUUCAAACGUCGUCGUUGCAGGAGAGCCGUUGGCUUGCACAAGAGGCCGCCAUGAGAAAACUGCUGUGCGUCUACAUUCUGGUGUUGCUUGCGGUCGAGCUGGUUCACUCUCAAGAACCUGCAAGCUGUCUAGACCGAAGAGUCCUGCUGAAUACUGGAAAAGAGUAUCUCAAGUCUAUUGUCGCUAAGUUAAUACCAAAGUACCUCAAGGACUACAUCUCCGGCCUUCCCCAAGAAGAAUUCAAAAGUAUGCGAGAGAUACAAGACUAUCCCUAACUCCCCACCCCCUUCCCCAUUUCUUUUUUUGCUCAUUGUGCUUUGAAUUAUCGUAUGAUCAAUUACAAGCUUAUAAAUAAACUGAUACACUCGUUGUGAGAAAGUGAA